rnacentral:rRNA from 1 species
AUUGAACGCUGGCGGCAGGCCUAACACAUGCAAGUCGAACGGUAGCACAGAGGAGCUUGCUCCUUGGGUGACGAGUGGCGGACGGGUGAGUAAUGUCUGGGAAACUGCCCGAUGGAGGGGGAUAACUACUGGAAACGGUAGCUAAUACCGCAUAACGUCGCAAGACCAAAGAGGGGGACCUUCGGGCCUCUUGCCAUCGGAUGUGCCCAGAUGGGAUUAGCUAGUAGGUGGGGUAACGGCUCACCUAGGCGACGAUCCCUAGCUGGUCUGAGAGGAUGACCAGCCACACUGGAACUGAGACACGGUCCAGACUCCUACGGGAGGCAGCAGUGGGGAAUAUUGCACAAUGGGCGCAAGCCUGAUGCAGCCAUGCCGCGUGUGUGAAGAAGGCCUUCGGGUUGUAAAGUACUUUCAGCGAGGAGGAAGGUGUUGAGGUUAUUAACCUCAGCAAUUGACGUUACUCGCAGAAGAAGCACCGGCUAACUCCGUGCCAGCAGCCGCGGUAAUACGGAGGGUGCAAGCGUUAAUCGGAAUUACUGGGCGUAAAGCGCACGCAGGCGGUCUGUCAAGUCGGAUGUGAAAUCCCCGGGCUCAACCUGGGAACUGCAUCCGAAACUGGCAGGCUAGAGUCUUGUAGAGGGGGGUAGAAUUCCAGGCGUAGCGGUGAAAUGCGUAGAGAUCUGGAGGAAUACCGGUGGCGAAGGCGGCCCCCUGGACAAAGACUGACGCUCAGGUGCGAAAGCGUGGGGAGCAAACAGGAAUAGAUACCCCUGGUAGUCCCCGCCGUAAACGAUGCCAACUUGGAGGUUGUGCCCUUGAGGCGUGGCUUCCGGAGCUAACGCGUUAAGUCGACCGCCUGGGGAGUACGGCCGCAAGGUUAAAACUCAAAUGAAUUGACGGGGGCCCGCACAAGCGGUGGAGCAUGUGGUUUAAUUCGAUGCAACGCGAAGAACCUUACCUACUCUUGACAUCCAGAGAACUUAGCAGAGAUGCUUUGGUGCCUUCGGGAACUCUGAGACAGGUGCUGCAUGGCUGUCGUCAGCUCGUGUUGUGAAAUGUUGGGUUAAGUCCCGCAACGAGCGCAACCCUUAUCCUUUGUUGCCAGCGAUUCGGUCGGGAACUCAAAGGAGACUGCCAGUGAUAAACUGGAGGAAGGUGGGGAUGACGUCAAGUCAUCAUGGCCCUUACGAGUAGGGCUACACACGUGCUACAAUGGCAUAUACAAAGAGAAGCGACCUCGCGAGAGCAAGCGGACCUCAUAAAGUAUGUCGUAGUCCGGAUUGGAGUCUGCAACUCGACUCCAUGAAGUCGGAAUCGCUAGUAAUCGUGGAUCAGAAUGCCACGGUGAAUACGUUCCCGGGCCUUGUACACACCGCCCGUCACACCAUGGGAGUGGGUUGCAAAAGAAGUAGGUAGCUUAACCUUCGGGA